GUGUGUGUGGGUGUCUGCUCGAUCGAACAAGAGCCAGGGGAAACCCUAGCUUCACCAAUCCUACCAAGAAAUCAGUAAAGAUUCAGAGAAAGUGAAAGCACAAUCAGGAAAUUUCAAGCUCUUAACUUGUUCCUUGCAAGAGCAUAAAAGAAGAAGGUUCAAGCUCUAAAAAGUUGGAAGGCCCUCAGGAUCGAGGUAAAACUCCGCUAUAGGCGAUUUGGGGAUAUGGAGCGAGUACAUGAUCAAGCCUUAUUAUACCAAGCGCUUCCGCUAGUUUUUAUACAUGCUUUGGGGUCCAUGUUUUGUUACUUGUUUAAUCUUGUUAGAAGUCUUACACUUGAAAACUUGUUUUUUUGUUUGGGUAGUUUAAAGCUAGUAGGGUCGUAGGUGAAUAUUGUAUAUUAUGUCAAAAACAGGGGGCAUGUCCGUUUUACAAACGGGUCAUGCCCAAAUUUUGUAAAAAUUUUUAGUA